GAUGAACGCUGGCGGCGUGCCUAAUACAUGCAAGUCGAGCGGCGCGGGGACGGGGGUGUGUCACGUGGGUAACACCCUAGAAGACUGGGGUAAAUUCCGGAAACCGGAGCUAAACCGGAUACUGAUCGAUGGAUCUGCUCUGCAUUAGCUAGUUGGUAAGGUAACGGCUUACCAAGGCAACGAUGCAUAGCCGACCUGAGAGGGUGAUCGGCCACACUGGAACUGAGACACGGUCCAGACUCCUACGGGAGGCAGCAGUAGGGAAUCUUGCGCAAUGGGCGAAAGCCUGACGCAGCAACGCCGCGUGAGUGAAGAAGGUCUUCGGAUCGUAAAAUUCUGUUAGUAGGGAAGCGGUACCUAAUGAGAAAGCCACGGCUAACUCCGUGCCAGCAGCCGCGGUAAUUC
rnacentral:rRNA from 1 species